GUGUUGUGCGAAAGGAGAGAAGGUUAGCACUCCCCUUGAUAAGGAUGAACAACACAUAUAAUUUCAAGGCACUGUCGCACUGUGUGUGUGUGUGUGUGUGUGUGUGUGU